rnacentral:rRNA from 1 species
AUUGAACGCUGGCGGCAGGCCUAACACAUGCAAGUCGAGCGAGCGGCGGACGGGUGAGUAAUGUAUGGGGAUCUGCCCGAUAGAGGGGGAUAACUACUGGAAACGGUGGCUAAUACCGCAUACUAUAGGAUGAACCCAUAUGGGAUUAGGUAGUUGGUGAGGUAAAGGCUCACCAAGCCGACGAUCUCUAGCUGGUCUGAGAGGAUGACCAGGCACACUGGGACUGAGACACGGCCCAGACUCCUACGGGCGGCAGCAGUGGGGAAUAUUGCGUGAAGGGGGCAACCCUGGUUCAGUCAUGCCGCGUGAAUGAAGAAGGCCUUCGGGUUGCAAAGUUCUUUCGUUAGCUAGGCGUUCACUACAGAAGAAGCACCGGCUAACUCCGUGCCAGCAGCCGCGGUAAUUC